rnacentral:rRNA from 1 species
ACGGGCGCAGCAGGCGCGAAACCUUUACACUGUACGCAAGUGCGAUAAGGGGACUCCGAGUGUGAAGGCAUAGAGCCUUCACUUUUGUACACCGUAAGGUGGUGUACGAAUAAGGGCUGGGCAAGACCGGUGCCAGCCGCCGCGGUAAUACCGGCAGCCCGAGUGAUGGCCGAUAUUAUUGGGCCUAAAGCGUCCGUAGCUGGCCGGACAAGUCCGUUGGGAAAUCUGUUCGCUUAACGAGCAGGCGUCCAGCGGAAACUGUUCGGCUUGGGACCGGAAGACCUGAGGGGUACGUCCGGGGUAGGAGUGAAAUCCUGUAAUCCUGGACGGACCACCGGUGGCGAAAGCGCCUCAGGAGGACGGAUCCGACAGUGAGGGACGAAAGCUAGGGUCUCGAACCGGAUUAGAUACCCCCGUAGUCC